GUGGUCUACAAUAUAGUAAAAUUAUAGUUCACGAAAUCAAUUGAGCUAAACUUAGGAGUUUGUUAGAACUAAGAUAUAUUAGCGUAGUAUAGCUAAGAUCCUACCCAAGUUUAGGGGUGAAAGGCCUAUCAAAUUUGAAAAUAUCUUGAUACAAAAGAAAUAUAUUUAGUAUAUCCUCAAACUAAAAAUGGUAAGGUUUUUAGUUAUUACAAAACAGAGUAAAAAAAAUCUGGAAUUUAUAAUAAAUACUAGACCUAAUUUAUUAAUAUUAUAUAUCGUUUUAUUGUAGUAAAUACUUUUGGUAAAGUAUAUUAACCAACCAAUACUUUUAUAAUGAUUACAUUAGUAUUAUAUAAAUUAUAUAAAAGGAACUCGGCAAAAAUCUAUCCUCGCCUGUUUAUCAAAAACAUAGCUUUAAGUAAUUCAUUUAAGGUACACCCUGCUCAAUGAGAAAUUAAAUAGCCGCAGUACCCUGACUGUGCAAAGGUAGCGUAAUCAGUUGGCUUAUAAUUGAAGUCUAGUAUGAAUGGGAACUCGGGGAUAUUCUGUCCUUUAUUUACGAUUAGAAAUUACUAAUUAAGUGAAAAUUCUUAAACCUUUAGAAAAAAGACGAGAAGACCCUAGAAAUUUUUUAUUAUAUAUUUUGUUGGGGCGACAAGGUAACAUAAAACUUACCUAUACAAUAGGAAAUUUUUUAGUUGGGUAAAUAAAUUACUCUAGGGAUAACAGCAUAAUAUUUUAAAGUUUGUGACCUCGAUGUUGGACUAGGAAAUACCCUACUUAAAAGGUAGUUUAUAUAGUUCUGUUCGAACUUUUUCUCCUACGUGAUCUGAGUUCAGACCGG
rnacentral:rRNA from 1 species